GAUUGGGCCCUUGCCCCGCCGCUGAUUGGUUGUUAAAGUAGGCGUUUGAUUGGGUACUGUUGGGCGAGAAGGGGCCAAUCGGCAGCGGGCGUGCGCCCUGCGCGCUGAUUGGACAAAACGGAGCAGGGUUUGGAUCCUACCCUUUGUUGCAAAGCUCCACAAUGAGAAGUCAAUGCGAGUGGGGCGAGCGGCGGGUGGUGAGCGGCUGAGUGCUCUGAGCACCCCUCCCCGGCCUCGGUUCACCCCCCCCCCCCCCGGCCGCCCGGGCCGUCGGCCCACCACAAAGCGUCUUUCGCGGCGUGUGGUGUGUAGGCGCCUGGCGGGGGGCUGCGGGCGGCGAGGGCCGGGCCAGGUCGCGGUGCAGCCUGGAGGGGCGGUGGGUGCCGUGUACCCCUGCGGGAUCCCCAGCGCGCAGGCCGCGGGGACCAGCGGCCUUCGGGAAAGCUGCGGGAGGCUCCGGUGUGUAGCGGCUCGCAGGUGGCCCGCGACGCCCCCCCCGCCCUUCCUUCCCGCGUUCCCGAGUGUCGGCGGGGACGAGCAAAGCUCCUUGGAAGGGAGCAGGCUCUGUCAGGGUUCUUCGUCUCCCGCGCGGUUGUGGUGGUGUGGCAGCCUGGGGAUGCUUGUGCAGGACUUAGGUUGGUGCUGAGCAGCCCCGCGCGUUUGUGACCCCCCCAAAAGUUGGGGAGAGCCCAACCAUUGGCCUGGGGAAGGCUGCCACAGCUGGGAGCCUGCCCCAGGCAACGGCAGGUGUCAGAGCCGUGCUGCUCCCCAGAUCCCAUCAGCUUCAGGGGUGGCCUUCAACGCUGAAGCGAACUCCAGAGUUUUGUUGCGAGUAGAAAGCCAGAGUCCAUGUUCCCUCUUGGUACCAUCUAGGAAGAUAAAAGGCAAUUAAAUAAAAAGAUUGUCUUGGAGGGGAAGUUGUUGCUUAAGUUUGACCUCGCACUUGUAGCAACUGCGGAGGUGGGUCCCUGCCCCCCCGCAGGAUGGGUACCACAGUCAGGAAGAACAGGUCCCAAAUGCCCUGCAGUUGAAGCACGCGGAACAUGGAGUGAACACAAACAAGACACUUGCUCAACCACCGCUCCCAAAGGCAUCAGUGAGCUCCGCAAACGAUCGUGGCCAUUGUCACACGGCCUUUCCAUGAGGUUUUGUAUCCUCCCCGGAUGCGUAAGUCCCCGGGGUCGACACCCAGGCAAGCAAGGAUUGCCGCGGUGCAGGAGCUCGGCAUGUAGGGAGCGCAUCUCCUGCUUCUCUGCCUCUCGGGGAUAGUUUAGAUUAGUCUCUCUUGAAGACUGGAGGAAAGCCGUGCUGCAGCCUCUCGGAUGAAACAGGCUGAGGGAAAGGCAUACAUGGAAAUGCCGAAGCAAGGAAAUGUCAGCAAGGACCUGUGUGAAGAUGGAAGCCAAUGCUCCCAGGGCACAUGUUCCCAGAACAUUUCCCUGGUGCUCAGCAGAGCACAUGUCGGGUUGUCCUGACUGUGAAACAAAAGAGAAGUGAAAGAGGACUGUGGAAUCAACAUCACUGUCUGAGGAUUCGGGCCCUUGGUUUCUGAACCCCUGAGAGCAUUGACAGCAUUGUCAGUGCGAUUCGUCCCUAAUUGAAAGGUUUUUUCAUCCAGUUCAUUGCUGAAUUGGAUUUUGGAUAUUCAGGUGUGUAUGUGUGGAUAUUACCUGAAAUACCUCCACACGUUAUUGACUUACCAAAAGUUGUCCUGCUUGACCAAGAGCUGCGUAAUUAUAGUGCUCCAACCUCCUGCAGAGGGUUGUUAGAUGAGUAAGAACAUAUUGAGAUCCUGUGAGUUAUCCGAGCAAAUGCAGGGGGAUAAACUACUAAUUAUCCCAGGAAAAGCCUGCCCGCAGUAGCUGUGGAAUCAGUGUAAAUGGGAAUUAAAAAAGUUAUUCCCCCCCCCCGAAACAGCUGCACAGGCAGCACGCAGAUGGAAGUUUAUUAUUAACAUCAUUCACCCCGUGCGUGCUAGUGGAGUUAAAAAGAGGUGUUUGCCUUAGAAAACCUUGUUGCCCUUUACCACACAGCUAGAGGAUUCCAGCGAGGGAAGUGGUUCUGUGUGAAGCCCAAGAGAUCAAAGUCCUAUUAAAAGAAACUCAUAUCGUU